rnacentral:tRNA from 1 species
UCCCUAGUAGCUCAGCUGGUAAAAGAAUCUGCCUGCCAUGCAGGAGUCUCGGGUUCCAUUCCCGGAUAGGGAA